rnacentral:rRNA from 1 species
UACGAAGGGGGCUAGCGUUGUUCGGAUUUACUGGGCGUAAAGCGCACGUAGGCGGAUCUUUAAGUCAGAGGUGAAAUCCCAAGGCUCAACCUUGGAACUGCCUUUGAUACUGGGGAUCUUGAGUCCGGGAGAGGUGAGUGGAACUGCGAGUGUAGAGGUGAAAUUCGUAGAUAUUCGCAAGAACACCAGUGGCGAAGGCGGCUCACUGGCCCGAUACUGACGCUGAGGCACGAAAGCGUGGGGGAGC